rnacentral:misc_RNA from 1 species
UGGCUGUAACUUCUCGUACAGUCAUUGUUCAUGUUUGUUUAAUGGACUCUGAAAAAAAAACCCAUUGUAUAGUUGUUCUCAAACCAUUAACAGAGUCCUCUUUGAUAUGAAUAACUGUAAAACAUGGAUGUGGGAUGAGACAUAUUUAGAGGAAUCUGUACUAGAGAGAACUUUUCUCCCAGUAUAUCAGGUACCUCUAGUUUUGGUCUUAUUUCUCAUUCUGUGUUGGUAAAAAAAGAAAGAAAAAAUAAUCUCAAGACAUUGAACCAUGCAUGGGAGUACUUGAUUUGAUGGCAGUUUGUGGCAGUCAGGUCAAUGUCUUGUUAUUGCUGCAGAUUUGCUCCACGGCAUAUAUAUAUAUAUGAAAUAAAACAAGAACCAUUG